ACAGAUUUGGUCCUGACCUUAAUAUUAGCUAAAACUACAUUUAUACAUGCAAGCAUCAACAUUCCAGUGAAUACGCCCAUUAUUACUAACUAGUAGUAAUGGAGCUGGUAUCAGGCACAUCAGCCCAAAACACCUUGCUUUACCACACCUACACAGGAGAUCAGCAGUAAUAAACAUUGAACAAUGAGCGAAAGCUCGAUUCAGUAAUAGUUAUUAAAGUCGGUAAACCUCGUGCCAGCCACCGCGGUUAUACGAGAGACUUGAGUUAAUAUACGCGGCCCAAAGAGUAGCUAAAGAAAAUAAUAUAGGAUUAAGAGACUUUUAAAGCUGUUAUACGCUAAAGGGACUAAAACCCGUAAUACUCCUACCAAUCUUGAAUCUACUUAAGCCAGGGAACACACUGGGAUUAGAUACCCCACUAUGCCAGGCCAUAAACUUCGGAUCCACCCGCCAGAGCACUACGAGCCAUAGCUUAAAACUCAAAGGACUUGGCGGUGCCCUACACCCACCUAGAGGAGCCUGUUCUAUAAUUGAUAAUCCCCAAUAAACCUCACCAUCUAUUGCAAAUACAGCCUAUAUACCACCGUCACAAGCCCACCUCACCAGAGGAUAAUAGUAGGCCAAAUAAUUUAAAAUAAAAAAGUCAGGUCAAGGUGUAGCAUAUAAGAUGGAAAGAAAUGGGCUACAUUUUCUUAAAAGAAAAUACGGAAUAUAAUAUGAAACAAAAUAUAAAGGAGGAUUUAGCAGUAAAAAGGAAAUAGAGAGUUCUUUUAAAAUAGGCAAUAAGGCGAGCACACACCGCCCGUCACCCUCUUCAAGCAAAAACAAAAUAAAUAAUAUAAUUAAUAUAUUAGAGGAGGAAAGUCGUAACAUGGUAAGUCUACCGGAAGGUGGCCUUGGAA
rnacentral:ncRNA from 1 species